rnacentral:piRNA from 1 species
UCUGAACAUCUAGAGAGACCCACCCGUCAC